CAUUAGCACCACAUGACAAUGAGAGCACAACAGGGACAGAUCUGCAGUGUGUUUCUGAUGUUGAGACACGCAGUUGAUUACAGAAGAUACUGAGUUGAAAAUGAAAGAACGAAGAGGAGUCUUGAGCAGAAACAACUGCAUGUCUAUUGCAGAUCUUUAAGAGAUGCUUUGAAAAAUAUGAAUGGAGGUCCUAAUGGUGACUCUACCAGCUCAUGACCAAGAUCUUCAGGGCAUGCCACAGCAGCCAGGGCUAACUACAGGCUGAAAACUAUAGUCAAAGAGCUGAGCUGUUGGGCCGAGCUCCAAUGUCCAACAAGGUACAAGACUCACCACGGACAAACAAGAGGCAGCUCAGUAGAGGAGCUGAGAUUACUGGGACUGAGACCUCACACCUUUCAUUUGACACAUUGUUAAGAACAUGGGAAUCAUAAGUUUAGGUAAAUAUUAUCCCUGUUGCCUUGAACAGUCUUUGGACAGACACUGUUCCUUUCUACAGGUCCGGAUAGCCAUAAUAUUAUCCCUGACUCUGCUGGUAAGGCAGCAGAGUGUUGAUAUUGAAAACAGAGUGAGGUGAAAAAUGUGAUUCACUGACAUUUCAGGUCGAAUCGGAACAGUGGAAAACCUCAUUUUCUACCCGAGGAUAUACAGAACUAGGGUUUAACUUGUCUAUUUCUGCUGAGAGUGACAUUAUCUUAAAAUGACCUGUGUGGUAGAGUUAUACGUCAUGUUAUGAGAAUGAUACUACAGUCACAACACUGUUCAUUUCAUGCUAGUGGUAUUGCAAAAAUACCCUUUCUAAUGUAACCUUCCUUCCUAACCUUCCUGCUUCCUGCCCCCAGCAGAUCCAGAGGAUAUUGUGUUGCUGUAUUGAGAUGGCGCUGCAGGCUUUAAAUAACAAUGGCAUGUUUAAAGAGACAAAAAAAUGCCUUCUUCGACAUUGUUUCACUAGCACAAGGAGCAGUUAACAUCUUGUGUAUAAUAAGCCUUAACUGACUCUACUCUUUUUUUCUUUAAAAAGUCAAAAUACUUUUUCUCAAAGAAAGUUUAUAGUUCAUAUUAAUGAAACAAGAAAAGUCAUAAAUUCAUAAAAUGAUCACACCAAUGUGGUUAUAUUUAACCAAAAUUAAAAUGCUCCCUCUUGAGAGUAAUGUUACCUUAUAGAAACCCCUGAAGCCAUUUUAACUGCUGUUAUCAAUAAAUCUCAGUGGUGUUUAUUGAAAGUAAUAUGCUGAAAUUUAGCUCUGGGUACAUUUUCCAUCUGUGCAGUUCUUUACACAGUGUGUUUCUAGUAUAAUGUAAUUUUCCUUUUCCUUUGUGCCAUAAAACAAUCUAGCAGCAGUGAUCACUUUAUUUGUCCACAAAGGGUGAUUGGUUGCCCUUUAUUAAAGUCUUUAGGGAGAUGGUAUAAUUCAGUCACAGCUAUUCAAGGGCUUGGCUCUGGUUUAUGAAAUGGGGCCUCUGUGAUUUGCUGUCUUAUAUUUGUGUAUGUAUAGAAAGUGAUGUAUGUAUAAAAAAACACUG